CAUUUACCUAGGACCUCACGGGGCUCCACCUUCGCAAUCAAAGCAGCAAGAGCUGAACCAUUCUGGUCGUAAACAGCGGUUCAAGCAGAAACUGAAGGAAGCGGAUAGGAGAAUUACUGGAACAGGGAGGGAAAAUAAGUUAGAGAAUCUGCGAGAGCUAGUAGGUGGAGGGAGGGGAAGUCCCAAUAUGGCAAAGGGUUCUCCCAGGGACUGGUUAGACCCACAUUGCCAUGAAUCACAGUUUGAGAAGUGGUCCUCUCAGUGAGUGGAUUAUUUGGUACCUAAUAUUAUCUCUCUAGUUUAACAUUGGCACAAACUAUUUCAAGCUUCAAUAUCUUUAGAGAUGCAUAUUUUAUUGAAAUCCAUGUAUUAUGACAAUAAUCCUUCAUCAAUUGGACUAUUUGGUGAUGCUGCAAAAACAGAAUAUAUUAGGUUUAAAGGGCUAACGUCCAUUAUCA
rnacentral:misc_RNA from 1 species